AGUAACCUGCCCUAGAGUGGGGGACAACAGCUGGAAACGACUGCUAAUACCGCAUAAGCCCACGGUGCCGCAUGGCACUGAGGGAAAAGGAUUUAUUCGCUUUAGGAUGGACUCGCGUCCAAUUAGCUAGUUGGUGAGGUAACGGCCCACCAAGGCGACGAUUGGUAGCCGGACUGAGAGGUUGAACGGCCACAUUGGGACUGAGACACGGCCCAGACUCCUACGGGAGGCAGCAGUGGGGGAUAUUGCACAAUGGGGGAAACCCUGAUGCAGCGACGCCGCGUGGAGGAAGAAGGUUUUCGGAUUGUAAACUCCUGUCGUUAGGGACGAUAAUGACGGUACCUAACAAGAAAGCACCGGCUAACUACGUGCCAGUAGCCGCGGUAAAACGUAGGGUGCAAGCGUUGUCCGGAAUUACUGGGUGUAAAGGGAGCGCAGGCGGGAAGACAAGUUGGAAGUGAAAACCAUGGGCUCAACCCAUGAAUUGCUUUCAAAACUGUUUUUCUUGAGUAGUGCAGAGGUAGAUGGAAUUCCCGGUGUAGCGGUGGAAUGCGUAGAUAUCGGGAGGAACAC
rnacentral:rRNA from 1 species